UACGUAGGGUGCGAGCGAUUAAUCGGAAUUCUGGGCGUAAAGCGUGCGCAGGCGGCUUUGCAAGACAGAUGUGAAAUCCCCGGGCUUAACCUGGGAACUGCAUUUGUGACUGCAUGGCUGGAGUGCGGCAGAGGGGGAUGGAAUUCCCAGUGUAGCGGUGAAAUGCGUAGAUAUCAGGAAGAACACCCGUGGCGAAAGCGGCUCUCUGGAACGGUACUGACGCUGAGACGCGAAAGCGUGGGGAGCGAACAGG
rnacentral:rRNA from 1 species